rnacentral:rRNA from 1 species
UACAGAGGUCCCAAGCGUUGUUCGGAUUCACUGGGCGUAAAGGGUGCGUAGGUGGUGAGGUAAGUUUGAUGUGAAAUCUCCGGGCUCAACCCGGAAAUGGCAUUGAAUACUAUCUUGCUAGAGGAGUGGAGGGGGGACUGGAAUACUUGGUGUAGCAGUGAAAUGCGUAGAUAUCAAGUGGAACACCAGUGGCGAAGGCGAGUCCCUGGACACUUCCUGACACUGAGGCACGAAAGCUAGGGGAGCAAACGGG